GGGAAAUACAAAGUAGUCAUCUGUGUACUUUGUGGCUGGAUCAGCUUUGAAGUGAGUGCCAGGCAAGCUCAGAGUUUGCAAGGUUCUCACACGAUUGUUGUGCUCUUCCACUCCUGUUGUGUACUGGUUCCCAGCUCACUUGCUUCAGAAUCAAGAACCACUGUUGAGAUCUGUAGACACAGUACCUGAGAAGCUUCUUGAGAAAAACUCCCCACCAGGACAGAAGGCCCCCAGAAACUGUAUCAUGAAACUCUUGUACAACUGGAGGGCCUGUUCUCCAGUCACAAGAUGCAUUCUUGGCUACUUCCUGACUUAUUGGCUCCUGGGACUACUCCUCCAUUGCAACUUCCUGCCUUGGACUUGAUCUGGAAUCUCAAGGGACAGGCUGGAAGCUGAUUUAACCCAGGGGCUAAAAACUUCAAGACACACUGGCUGGGACUGCCUGCUCAUCCCUGAGAGCACUGUCUGUUAGGAUCUCCCCCUGUGCCCCUGGAGACCAGUUAGGAAUGGAGAAUAGCAAGGAAUUGAGCCCCUUCUUGUCCUUAGUGGGAGGAAGAACUGUUUUCUGUGCCGAAUGGAGUUGGCUCAAAUCAACAAGCUUCAGACAAUCUUAAACCUCCUGCUGACCCAUGUAGGUGUUUUUUGUUUUUUUGAGACUGGGUUCACUGUGUUGCCUUGGCUGUCCUGGAACUCGAUUUCUAGACCAAGAUGGCCUGGAACUCAGAGAUCUGCCUACCUCUGCCUCCCAAGUGCUGGGAUUAAAGGUGCAACACCACUGCCUGGCUUCCCAUGUGUAAAUUUAAGUUAAAUGUUUGCUCAAAGCUCUAACCAACAGCCUGAUCCACUUGAGAUGGUGAGGACAGGACAGUGAAAAGAGGAAAAAUGGGCUGCCUGCUUUAAGUGAGACAUUUCUGGAGUUUCCUUUAUGAUGUGUGCAUUUAUAUAAAAAAUCCUACACUAUGAAAAUUUAAAAACUUGUAUUUGUAAUGAAUUUGGGGGUGGGGGUCAGGGGAGUUGAAACAGGGUUCUUCUGUGUAGAGAUCAGGCUGGUCUUGAACUCACAGAGAUCCACCUGCCUCUGCCUCUUAGUGCUGGGACUAAUGGUGUGUGUCAGGCACUGCUGAGUUACUUUUUAUAAGGACUUGGGGCUAGAACUCAGUAAAGCAUGUGAGGCCCUAAUUUCAAUAAUAAAUGAUUUGAGUCAGAG